CUAUGGAGAAGUUGCGUUCGACGAGGGUUCUGAUCAGAUGCACGAGGGCUUGGUUGCAGCGGAUAUUUAAUUUUGUUUACUGGAAAAUUGCCAUGAGGAAUUAUUCACAAGCUUAUCUUGUGGUCUGUAGGUGUUGAACAUACUCCAUCAUGAAUAAGGGGCUGGAAAAGAACAGGCAAGUCAAGUGGCUGAUUUUUGCAGCAGAGACGUUCACGAGGCUAAAAGGUUAGGCCAGGAACAACCUUAGUUGAGGCAUUACUACAUAAAUAUGAAGGACCAUCUUACCAGCUGUUGUAAAUACAUGAAGAUUAGUUUUAGGGCUUUGGAUCAUAAUACGGACUACAUAGAUGAAUUCCAAGAAACGAGUCCAAGUUCUUUCAGCUUGCAGUUUUCCAAAUAAACUCCUCCACCUAG